rnacentral:rRNA from 1 species
AUUCCAGAUUCGCAAGACGGAACUGAGUUUUAUGGAUAGAGUGAAGGACGCUGGAUAGUGGCGAACGGGUGAGUAUAAGACAGGAACAUACUUCGAAGCGGGGCAUAGCCCACCGAAAGGUGGGGUAAUUUCCCAUAUGUCCCGAUUUAUCGGGAUGAAAGACGCAAGUCACUUCGAAAAUGGCCUAUCUACUACCAGCUAGUUGGUAAGGUAACGGCUUACCAAGGCUUUGACGGUUACCGGCUCUUAGCGGAGAGUCCGGCACAAUGGGACUGAGACACGGCCCAUACACCUACGGGUGGCAGCAGUUAGGAAUUUUGCGCAAUGGACGAAAGUCUGACGCAGCGACACCGCGUGGAGGAUGAAGACCUUAGGGUUGUAAACUCCUUUUUAGCGGCCAUGAAGGCCACUAGAAUAAGUAGCUACUAACUACGUGCCAGCAGUCGCGGUAAUACGUAGGCUACGAGCGUUACCCGGAUUUAUUGGGCGUAAAGGGUCUGUAGACGGUUUUCCAAGUCUGGUUUCAAAGCCCCCGACUCAAUCGGGGAAAGGGGUCAGAUACUGGGAUACUAGAGUCAUAUCGGGGUUACUGGAAUUUUUGGUGUAGGGGUUAAAUCCGUGGAUACCAAAAAGAACACCAAGCGCGAAGGCGGGUAACUAGGUAUGUACUGACGUUCAGAGACGAAAGCUAGGGUAGCAAAUCAGAUUAGAGACCUGAGUAGUCCUAGCUGUAAACAUUGUCCGUUAGUUCUUCUCAAUUUAUUGGGAGGGAUGUUAGCUAACGCGUUAAACGGAUCGCCUGGGGAGUAUAGCCGCAAGGCCGAAACUCAAACGAAUUGGCGGGGAGGCGCACAACCAGUGGAGCAUGUGGUUCAAUUCGAUACGAAGCGAUAAACCUUACCUGGGUUUGAAAUGUAUCUGCAAGCUUUAUGAAAGUAGAGCCGCCUUCGAGGGUGAUACACAGCUGUUGCAUGGCUGUCGUCAGCUCGUGACGUGAGUUGUUCUCUUAAGUGAGGUAACGAGCGCAACCCCCAUUC